CGGCAACAUCGGCCGCUUUUGUUUCUCGAAGCAAAAAGUGAGUUGGAGCAUGUAUGUUGGGACCCGAAAGAUGGUGAUCUAUGCUUGUGUAGGGCGAAGCCAGGUGAAAAGCUGGUGGAGGUCCGCAAACGGUUCUGACGUGCAAAUCGAUCGUGAGACAUGGGUAUAGGGGCGAAAGACUCAUCGAACCAUCGAGUAGCUGGUUCCCUCCGAAAUUUCCCUUAGGAUAGCUAUAAUCAUGUUAGUUUCAUCAGGUAAAGCGAAUGAUUAGAGGG
rnacentral:rRNA from 1 species